rnacentral:rRNA from 1 species
ACUCCUACGGGAGGCAGCAGUGGGGAAUAUUGCACAAUGGGGGAAACCCUGAUGCAGCCAUGCCGCGUGUGUGAAGAAGGCCUUCGGGUUGUAAAGCACUUUCAGUAGGGAGGAAGGUAGUGUAGUUAACACCUGCACUAUUUGACGUUACCUACAGAAGAAGCACCGGCUAACUCCGUGCCAGCAGCCGCGGUAAUACGGAGGGUGCGAGCGUUAAUCGGAAUUACUGGGCGUAAAGCGCAUGCAGGCGGCCUGUUAAGUCAGAUGUGAAAGCCCGGGGCUUAACCUCGGAAUUGCAUUUGAAACUGGCAGGCUAGAGUCUUGUAGAGGGGGGUAGAAUUUCAGGUGUAGCGGUGAAAUGCGUAGAGAUCUGAAGGAAUACCAGUGGCGAAGGCGGCCCCCUGGACAAAGACUGACGCUCAGAUGCGAAAGCGUGGGGAGCAAAACAGGAUUAGAUACCCUGGUAGCACAGAG